GUUUUCAUUUCUUCCUUCUUCUCCUUCAGAAACGAGCAGAGAAUUUCCCAGAGGAGAUGGGUUGAUUGAUUUGGUAUCAAGUUCUAGGGUUUGCAACAAUUUUUAGAUUCGAUUCAUAUUGUU